AGGAAAUCAGAAACAGGUUUGAAGAGGAGAAAAUUGAAGCUCAGAGAAAUGAAGUGACUUGGCUCAGAUCCCACAACCAGUUGAGCUAGCUAUCCCCCAACUCCUGAUGGCCCUGCCCAGACACUGUCUGAAGAGACCAACCUUCCAGGUCCAGCUUCAAGGUGAAGAUUCAGUGACUGUUUGCUUAGGAUUAAUAAUAAUAAAAUAAUAAUAAUAAUAAUAAAAUCUGCCAUCAGUUGAA